CCUGGUAGCUUAGUUGGUAAAGAAUCUGCCUGCAAUGCAGAAGACCCCGGUUCGAUUCCUGGGUCAGGA
rnacentral:tRNA from 1 species